rnacentral:lncRNA from 1 species
UGCAGUCUCGUUCCUGAAUCUCUGCUGUCAGGAAAGCAGGCCUGGCCCCAUGUUAUUGUCUCUUGUUUUGUACCAAAAAUAAACCGUUGGAUCCUGCUGUGGCUCUCCUCCAGUGUCUGCUGCUCUUCUGCGUUUCUUCUUGACUUCAUAGCUCGGAUCCACAUAGCCUUCCUGCCAUCAAACACUGCUGUUCCAGUAGAGCAUCUUUCAGUUCUCUGGUUCUUCCUGUUAAUCUUCAGGUUUUUAGUUUUGCUCUGUCUGGCCAUAUUGAUCACCAGCUCCAAGAACAUGGAAACCUGGACCACAAAUUUUGGUGGCUGCCAUAAUCUGGAUACUACCAUCUGUGUCAUGGGAACAAAAAUUGUGUCCCUGUGUGGUUCACUCUUCUGUUCUGUGACACAUCUGAAACAAUGCUGGUGUGGUGGCACAGCUCAUGCUCCCUGGAUAUGGGAUGCAACAAAUGGGUCACUUCAGCAGAAUCUGCCAAAGGACACUCAGGGGAUAGAUACCACUGGAUUCCUUUCUGAACCUCACAGCAUGUUUGAUGUUUGUUGA